GUUGUGGGGUUAAGCGACUAAGCGUACACGGUGGAUGCCCUGGCAGUCAGAGGCGAUGAAGGACGUGCUAAUCUGCGAUAAGCGUCGGUAAGGUGAUAUGAACCGUUAUAACCGGCGAUUUCCGAAUGGGGAAACCCAGUGUGUUUCGACACACUAUCAUUAACUGAAUCCAUAGGUUAAUGAGGCGAACCGGGGGAACUGAAACAUCUAAGUACCCCGAGGAAAAGAAAUCAACCGAGAUUCCCCCAGUAGCGGCGAGCGAACGGGGAGCAGCCCAGAGCCUGAAUCAGUGUGUGUGUUAGUGGAAGCGUCUGGAAAGGCGCGCGAUACAGGGUGACAGCCCCGUACACAAAAAUGCACAUGCUGUGAGCUCGAUGAGUAGGGCGGGACACGUGGUAUCCUGUCUGAAUAUGGGGGGACCAUCCUCCAAGGCUAAAUACUCCUGACUGACCGAUAGUGAACCAGUACCGUGAGGGAAAGGCGAAAAGAACCCCGGCGAGGGGAGUGAAAAAGAACCUGAAACCGUGUACGUACAAGCAGUGGGAGCCUCUUUUAUGGGGUGACUGCGUACCUUUUGUAUAAUGGGUCAGCGACUUAUAUUCUGUAGCAAGGUUAACCGAAUAGGGGAGCCGAAGGGAAACCGAGUCUUAACUGGGCGUUAAGUUGCAGGGUAUAGACCCGAAACCCGGUGAUCUAGCCAUGGGCAGGUUGAAGGUUGGGUAACACUAACUGGAGGACCGAAC
rnacentral:rRNA from 1 species